ACCCACGCGCGGCCCUCCUGCACCUCGGCCAGCACUCGUAGCGCGCUGGGCGAGCCGGACCGGAAGUUGAAGAAGUGAAGCGCCGCGCGCGCCGCCUGCUGCAGGAGCCUGCGCGGGACCCCAGCAUCCUGAGGCUGCCCAGGGUCGUCGGGGUCCCCGGACCCCGCGGGCGCCGCCACCGGGGCGAGCAACAGCAGCAGCGCGAGCAGCGGGGCGGUGGGGCGCGGGCCCCUGGGCCCGGACCAGGGAGCAGGCAGCCGUUGCCGGCGGGGCUGCAUGGACGCAGGAAAGUUGGCUCGGCACCCGACAGACACGGGCUCGGAGCGGGCAGUGCCGGCGCUCGCGGAAAUAAGGCCGUGGUGGGCCCCUCCCCUCCGCCCCCAGGGCGAAGAUAAUUGUGAAACACCUGUGCCAGGCCCUGGGGGAAUGAGGGUGAACAAUCUUAAACAUCUCUGCCUUCCUGGAGCACACCUUCUAGGUUGCACAGUGGCUCAGAGAGUAGACUUGGAGCCAGGCUGCCCGGUUUUAUAGCCCUGCUUGACCUGUGUGAUCCGAGAAUAAUCUUGUUUAAUCUCCACAAGUUUGAGGACUAAACUGGGUGCCACAGAGAAUUAAGUAACUGGUCGAGGUUGUAUCAGUAAGAAGGGAGCACGGAACAGAUUCAAGCUCAGGGAGCCUGGUUGGACUUCAGGCCCCUGUGAGGCUGACUCUGUAGUCCUGGAGAAACUCAACAGCCAGGAACUUAGGACCAUUUGUGUGUGGCAUUUGGGCUAACCAGACUGGUGGCUUCUAAAGAAGAUGGAAAGCAUCACGUUUCCUGUAUUUAAAUUAUUUGGUGAUCUCAAUACUGGUUGUUAGCCAAAGUACACAAUGGAGACAGCCUAUUUGCUCUACUACUUUUGAUGUAGAAAUAUUACUAAGCUUGAGCUGAUUAAUAGAACUGUUACACAUUUCUGUGCUCCCCUUACUGGUGGCAUGAAAUAAUUCUUUUAAAACCUGCCAUGUGUUCACAUUUAAAACUAAAAGUAAUUUAGAUUACAUGGAUUUGAGAAGCCCAUGUUGACACGUAAUUGCCAACAGAUGGGCUUUCAAAUGUAAUGAAGUGAAAAUGGUCAGUACCCCAUGUGUUGGAUUUUGCAAUUUUCCAAAGUAAGCUGUCAUUUUUGGCAUGUCAUGCUAGUUAAGAACACAAUGUAUUUAUAGCUCAAUUAUACAUUUUCUGAUGAAUUUGGCAUGGCAUUUUGUUUUUCCAUCAGUCACUUAAGACAGGACAUUUGCCAUUCCAAGAAUGAAUUAACACUCUUCUAAGUGAUCUAUAAACUGAGAUGUAAAAUAAAUUACAAAUUGGGACUGUUUUAGUUUUUCAAGCAAAGGGUGUUUAAAUAAAGCUUGAAAUCAUAAACCUUAUUUCCUGUUUGAGAAGAUGGUGUAUUCAUUACAGAGUGAAAUAAAGGAUUUUAAUGUUUUUUUUUUUUUCCGGCAAUAAUAGUUAGAAUCUUACGUUCUUCAAAGAAAAUUUCAAAGAAAAUUCAUAACACUUG
rnacentral:lncRNA from 1 species